CGGCCAUUUUUCCCAUUUUUAUUGGAUGGGACAGAGAAAAAUUGAGAGGGGAAGGGGAGACUGAGAGGGGGAGAGAAAGAGGCCUCUUUCAGGCCUGCAUCACUGCUUGUGAAAUGAUGCCCCUGCAGGUGGGCACCCGGAAUUGAACCCAGAUCCUUCUGUGGGUCCUCGGGCUUCGUACUAUGUGCGCUUAACCGGAUGUGCCAACCCCGGGCCCACAUAUAUGUGUUUCCAAGAAUAAACACAUGGGCUUUCUCUCAGAGAUUAUCUUUGUUUUCUUUCUAAUCAAAUUUUUGCUUUAAUUUUUAAAAAUGUAUGCUUCGGGGGGACAUAGUUGUAAUUACCAGAGGUUUGAUAUCUAGCCAAAAAGGUAUCUAAGAGAGAAGACAUUCAUUAUAUUAAAUCUUAUACCUGAGAUUUCUUUGGGAACUUAAAAUAGGUAAGAAUAUCUUAAUGUGAGGCAGUCUCUGGGAUUCUCAUUAUGGGAAUCACUCAGCUUUGUCUUAAGUAGGUGGCAAGAAAACAUUUUCCUACUCAAGGUAUUUUAAAGAUUUUAAACUUAUUUCUAAGAGAGAAAAUGACCAAAGAAUUACGUGAUUCUGGCAUAUGGUAUCAUACAGGGUUGAGCCUGAGGCCUCUGGGGCUUAGGACUUGCAAAUCUUGUGUUCUUUUACACAAAACUCUCUGUACACCCCUUUAAAAAAUGUUUUAUAUUGCACUCUUGUCUUCUUCUUCUCUUUCCUGUCUGUUCCUCUUAUUCCAUAUUCCAAAUGAUCAACUACCAAUUUUUUAUACCAUCUGCCACCCUCACAUGGGAAAACACACUCUGGUAAUAAAAAGGCAUCUUUUCAAUAAUGACUACCUAGACAGGUGUGUACUGGAGAGUCAGUGAGUCAGGACACCUUCUACUAAAAUUUUCCACAGCAGUGGGGCAUGCAGAGAAAACCACCCUGCUUUGAAGGCAUGUGCACUUCCUCUGUUCUUUGUGUUUUUCUCAUGAGAAAAUAAAUACUUGCUGAACCCUCUGAUAUUCACUAAUAUAUACUUAGAGGCUAGAGAUACCACAGUAAAAUGAAGAGCAACUAAAAUAGAGUUGUUUGAUUAAUUGCUGGUAAAUUAUUGGCAGUCAGUUUAUUGAGUUAAAUACUAAUAUAAGGCCUCAAAAACUGUUAUGUACACAUUUGAAAACUUGGGUGCAAAAUAAAUAUCUUGUCCAUGGUUACACUGUU